CCUACGGGGGGCAGCAGUGGGGAAUAUUGCGCAAUGGGCGAAAGCCUGACGCAGCGACGCCGCGUGAGGGAUGAAGGUCUUCGGAUCGUAAACCUCUGUCAGCAGAGAAGAAAGGUCACUGUGCUAAUCAGCAGUGAAUUGACGGUACCUGCAAAGGAAGCACCGGCUAACUCCGUGCCAGCAGCCGCGGUAAUACGGAGGGUGCGAGAGUUAAUCGGAAUGACUGGGCGUAAAGCGCUCGUAGGCGGUAUGUCAAGUCAAGUGUGAAAUCCCCGAGCUUAACGUUGGAACUGCCUUUGAAACUGGCAAACUGGAGUGUGUGAGAGGAUAGUGGAAUUCCAGGUGUAGGAGUGAAAUCCGUAGAUAUCUGGAGGAACAUCAGUGGCGAAGGCGACUAUCUGGCACAUAACUGACGCUGAGGAGCGAAAGCGUGGGUAGCAAACAGGAUUAGAUACCCUUGUAGUC
rnacentral:rRNA from 1 species